rnacentral:rRNA from 1 species
UGGGGAAUAUUGGACAAUGGGCGCAAGCCUGAUCCAGCCAUACCGCGUGGGUGAAGAAGGCCUUCGGGUUGUAAAGCCCUUUUGUUGGGAAGAAAAGCAUUCGGUUAAUACCCGAUUGUUCUGACGGUACCCAAAGAAUAAGCACCGGCUAACUUCGUGCCAGCAGCCGCGGUAAUACGAAGGGUGCAAGCGUUACUCGGAAUUACUGGGCGUAAAGCGUGCGUAGGUGGUUGUUUAAGUCUGUCGUGAAAGCCCUGGGCUCAACCUGGGAAUUGCGAUGGAAACUGGGCGACUAGAGUGUGGCAGAGGGGUAGUGGAAUUCCUGGUGUAGCAGUGAAAUGCGUAGAGAUCAGGAGGAACAUCCGUGGCGAAGGCGACUGCCUGGGCCAACACUGACACUGAGGCACGAAAGCGUGGGGAGCAAACAGGAUUAGAUACCCUGGUAGUCCACGCCCUAAACGAUGCGAACUGGAUGUUGGGUGCAAUUUUGGCACGCAGUAUCGAAGCUAACGCGUAAGUCGCGCUGGGAGUACGGUCGCAAGACUG